UCUCCUGUAGCUCAGUGGUAGAGCGUCCGACCGGUGUGUCACGGGAAGGUCAUAGGUUCGACUCCUGUUGGGGGAA